rnacentral:lncRNA from 1 species
CAUUUGCGCAUCAGCAUGAAAACUGUUCUGAUUAUUAUUGCAGUGCUAGUAUUCGGGAAUGCCGCGGAAAAGGCACUUUCUGAGAGCUCAGAGACACUCGGAGAUGGUCCUUUAAGUACAGCUUUAGGAAUAAACCAACCGCAACUGGUAAGGGUAGUGAAGAAAGCAAUCUGAGUUAUAAUCAUUUGAGAUUCAGAAGAAAAACAAGAUUCACAAUCAUAGAGAAUUCUCAAGUGCGCACAUGGUUAUUCGCGAAGUAGUUUUCGUAGAAGCAACCAUGCCAGUGCAUACGAGACUUAUAAACUGUAUUCGUCAUUUAAAAGUCAUCUAAAUGUUAAUUACAUUUUUUUUUGUAAAGGGUUAUGCAAUUAUUUGUAAUUGGGGUAAUGUAUUUUGAAAAUAAGGUCUUGAGAUACGACAUAAUGUUGACAUACUGAAUAAACAUGCUUACAAAUAGAAUUUGCAGAAUCGAUAUCAGAAAAAUACAAAAUUAAGAUGCAGGUACUGGAGUGCUAUGAAUAUUAUACGGUUAUUAUAACAGAAACCUGAUCUUGAAUGUUGUAUUCGGCUCGAGUAAAUUCGCCUGGCCGGAUUCCAAGAGGCGCGGAAGCGCAGAGUGUGAUUCGGCCUGGCAGAGUCAACGAGAGCUGAAUACAAUAACUGUUUUUAUGACCCUAUCAUUAUAUACCUCCACCUUUUUGUUAAUCGUUUUUUAUGCUAAAGCUGACUAAACAUUCCUCUAAAACAAAUCACUUUUUAUUUAGCUGAUUGUAAGCAUGUAUGGGGAACCGCAGCGUUUCAGAGGCUAAUUUUAAAGAAUAACAAGUAUUUUCAGCUUUAUAAAAAAUAACAUAAAAUAGUUUCUACUCCUAACAGACCGAUUAAAUAUUAAAAUAGAACUGAAUGGGUUCUUUUGUGUGCACUAGGUUUAGUUUUGGGCUAGUUCAUGAAUAUUAUUUAAUGAAAGUAGUACGACCAAAUCCAAAAUACAGGAUUCAUAGUUCAAUAUUGAAUUUGUUUUCUAUUUGUUUUUCUAUAUAUAAAGGUAUAUAAUAAAACUAUAUCCAUAUGCUCUUUGGAAGGUUCAGGAUGUGAAAAGAAAGUUGUGUUUUCUUUAAAUUCGCCCUAUUCAUUUCAAUUGGAAAUUAUGAGGUUCGUUGUGUAUGAACAACAAAAGGAAAGGUGCCAAAGUUACGAAAACGCUGCUAAGUGAUAACGGGCGGUCCGCGUAUGACAUCGCAGUUGUUCCGUCUGGUGAACAGUUUGGCAGGGUCACUGCUUUUAAUGUUAAAAGCAACGAAAUGUGUGCAAUUUGUAAUAUAACCUUGCUUACAAAUGGAUAGGAUAUAUAAUGUAAAUAUAAGAAAUGAAUCAUUUUGGCAGUUCCUAAGAAAUGAACGGCAGAAUGAAGGAUCGGAAUAUUAGGCAUGAUUCAUUGGUUUGUAGAUCCUAUUCUGUCGUUCAUUGCGCAUGAGCUCCGAAAAAAUAUUUAAUGUCUUAAAGAGACAUACUUCUUUUCAAAAAUAACUGAUCUUAUAGAAGUUAUUCUUACAUGCCACUGAUGUUUUAAUCACAAAUUUAAAAAGCUACAAAGACAACGUUCACGCUUUGGCGAAAGUGUUUCACGAAAACAAUAUGGAUCCUUUGUCUUACUUAACAUUCUUUCAUGGCAUAUUUGUACAGAUAUGUAUCUUAAAUAUAAUCGGAUUAAGAACUGAAAUUUUUUUUUCCGGAGUUCAUGGAUAAUGAACGACAGAAUAGGAUCGGCAAAUCCACGAACCGCACUAGAUAUUUAUGUUUAAUUUUCCGAUACUAGUCCGUCGUUCAUUCCGCAUGAACUCCGAAAAAACUUAAUCUAUUUCUUAUAUUUUCAUUAUAGUUCCUUUCCUUUUAUUAGGUUAUAUUAUAAAAUGCACACGUUAUGUUAUAUUAAACAUUCUGCAACCGCCUCGUGACAUUAUUACGUUCGACGUAUAACCGCCCACCGUGCAUAAAUAGUGUUUAAGCACUUUUUUCCUAUAAAUUAUUUCUUAACUAAAAAUAACUUCCUGGCCAUUCUAUUCACCAGACUGAAAAACUUUGACGUCAUCUAAGGAAAAGAAUAGGGCAAAUGUAAAUAUCAACGUUUGGCAAACAAACCGUAUUUAAGUGAGAACUAAUGCAGAACGUUUAUGAAUCAGGCCUUUGUAUUAUCGAUAUAAACUAUUUUUUAAAAACACUAGAUAAACGUCUUUGUUUCAAAGAAAGAUCUCCGGCUACUUCUGAUUUGAUUAUAUGUAGAGAACAUCGCUUUAUAUUCACCUAUUUUUCCAAGACUGAAUUAAAAUAAGACUGAGUAGAUACUAGUGAAAUGCUGGUCAGUGUUAGUCUUCCAUCCUACAAGUGACUAACUACCACUUGCCUUUUCCGCACAUCAGUCUUUUCAGAUUCAACCGUUAGACAAAAAUGUAAUUUGAGCACUCGUUAUGCUCUAGGGUGACACCAUUAAAAUGGGUGGGGGUGGGUUGUUGAAACACUGUUUUCUAUUGUUAUAUUUCUGUUUCAAUAUGUUAAGGCAUUAUUUAGUUCAAUUAGUAGAUCUAUAUAUAUUAAGUUUUCUUGAGUACUUUCAAGUUGUUGAUUUGUAGUUGAUUAUAUGUAUCCACACGCAUCAAUGACCAUUAAAUCAUUAUAUCAAAUGUUUACGUCGUCAGCCAGUUAAUGACUACCGGAUACAAAAAGCUCUCGCGGAGAAUGUUCUGGUAGGAUGUGCCGCUGACGAUGUAUACAUUGCUUAAAUGUACAUGUUAUAUCUAUAAUAAAAUGUAAAUACAUAA